rnacentral:rRNA from 1 species
GACGAACGCUGGCGGCAGGCCUAACACAUGCAAGUCGAGCGAAGCCUUCGGGCUUAGCGGCGGACGGGUGAGUAACGCGUGGGAACGUGCCCUUUGGUACGGAAUAGCCCCGGGAAACUGGGACUAAUACCGUAUGUGGUCGAGAGACGAAAGAUUUAUCGCCAAAGGAUCGGCCCGCGUUGGAUUAGGUAGUUGGUGGGGUAAUGGCCUACCAAGCCGACGAUCCAUAGCUGGUUUGAGAGGAUGAUCAGCCACACUGGGACUGAGACACGGCCCAGACUCCUACGGGAGGCAGCAGUGGGGAAUCUUAGACAAUGGGGGAAACCCUGAUCUAGCCAUGCCGCGUGAUCGAUGAAGGCCUUAGGGUUGUAAAGAUCUUUCAGUGGGGAAGAUAAUGACUGUACCCACAGAAGAAGCCCCGGCUAACUCCGUGCCAGCAGCCGCAGUAACAC